rnacentral:lncRNA from 1 species
CUGAGUAGCAGCUAGUGUGAUGAGCCCAACCAUGCUAGAUACACCUUUCAAUUGUCAUAAAAUAGAAUUUAAUGUAGUUGAACUAUUCAUAAAUUUUCUUGAAGUUCUAUGGAGAUUGUUAAGACCAGUAAUAUUACCAGCUGAGACAAAAAUAGCACCAGAAUAAUAUGUAAGUGCAUUGAUUCCUCCCAAAUUCAUCAGGAC